rnacentral:misc_RNA from 1 species
UGGGGAUCAAAGUAAGUCCGGACUAGUAGAUGCUCGAGCCGCAAAUAUCUUUCUGGUUGCUCCUGUUUCAUGACACCCAUCACGUUGGUUUGCCUUAAAAUAGCUCGUGCAGUAUCCAUCUCUCGAAGUUCAAUCAUUUCUAAGACAAUCUGCUCAUAUAAAUCCUCCAGUAUCUUUCUAGGAAGCUUAAGUUGUGCAACUUGAGGUAGUACAGCAUCCCAUCUUCCACUAUUAAUAUCAGCUAUAAAAGUUUCAAGGCUAUCCACAGUAUUAAGAGAAACCUGGCACUCAUUUUGCAAUGUCUGGAAAGAUUGAUGCAGAGAGUUCUCCUUGCAGAAUUGAAGAACUAUCUUAAUGACAUCUCGAGCUUCGAUUUCCAGUGUAGAAGACAUUUGCUAAGAAUGAGAAUGCUUAUAAUCCCUAGCUAAGCCCUGCUUUUGAGAGUAAAA